rnacentral:rRNA from 1 species
GACAGAGGUCCCAAGCGUUGUUCGGAUUCACUGGGCGUAAAGGGUGCGUAGGCGGUCGGGUAAGUCUGGCGUGAAAUCUCCAAGCCUAACUUGGAAACUGCGUUGGAUACUAUCCGGCUCGAGGAAUGGAGGGGAGACUGGAAUACUUGGUGUAGCAGUGAAAUGCGUAGAUAUCAAGUGGAACACCAGUGGCGAAGGCGAGUCUCUGGACAUUUCCUGACGCUGAGGCACGAAAGCCAGGGGAGCAAACGGG